AUGGUGGGCCGGAAGCCGAUGCGCCGGCGCCGCGCCGACCACCCGCCUCCGCCGCCGCCGCAGUCCUUCGGUGCCACGGCCCGGGCGACCUCCCCCCGCUCCUCCACCUCCGCCUCCGCCGUCGCCGACCUGGACGAGCUGCUCUACACGCCGUCCGCGUCGGAGCCCCGGAGCUUCCCGCACGCGGUGAAGCAGCAGUGCUGGGAGAAGGCCGAGAAGGUGCCUGGGCGCGACCCGGAGAGGUGGCGCCGCGACGCGCUCGGCAACAUCGUCUUCCGCAAGCUCGUCGGCUGCCCCGGCUGCCUCUGCCACGACUACGACCACAUCGUGCCCUAUUCCAAGGGCGGGAAGAGCACAUUGGAGAACUGCCAGGUUUUGCAGGCUACUGUGAAUCGAUCUAAAGGGAACAAUACUGAGAUAUCCAAAUCUGAACUAGCACAGAGAAGCGCAUAUUGUCGGGUUUCAGGACGUGAUAUGGAUCUUUUUGAACUCUCUGCCUUUGGGAAUGUUCGACGAGGGCCAGAUUCAGGGGGCUGCAAAAUCCAAUGA
rnacentral:rRNA from 1 species